rnacentral:tRNA from 1 species
UCUUUGAUGGUCUAACGGUCAUGAUUUCCGCUUGUCAUUUCACACGCGGGAGACCGGGGUUCGACUCCCCGUCAGAGAG